GCCGCCCUCGGCUCCCCCCCGCCGCUCCCGGAGCGCCCCCGCCGCCCUCCGGCCUCCAUGGCGGCGGGGGAGGCCGCGCCGCCUCCUCCCGAGGGGGACUACUUGACGCGUCGGUGCGGCGAAUUUAUUUCCCUUUGCCUAAGGAACGGGCUGUGCCGCGGCACCCAUUGCCUAGGGAAAAAGCCCGGAUGUGAAGCUCACAAUGACAAAGAAGAGCAGUCCCAGCCUCUGCACUACUUCUGGUUUUAUUUCCACAUCAGCAAAAAGGGCUUCCCAGAUGUGAGCAGUCAUAAAGGGGACAUUGCUUACGGCUCUCGGGUGGCUGGCCAGGCUGACUAAGCACGCUUACCGAUCCCGCACACUGUUUAGAAUCACAAUGAGCUGGAAACUGCGUGCCAAGACGUGAGCGGUCCAGGGAGCAGUUACUCAUUUUUAAGCCAGCAGUAUGAACUAUCCCAUGAGCAAUUGCAGCUCCAUUAUCAGAGGUGAAACAAAGUCAUUGCAAGAGACUUCUCUUUUCACAUGUGCCCAUGGUGCACAGACUUGUGUGCCUGCUGCUCUGCUUCAGUAGAAUGAAACUUCUUGUACUGUGGUUUGUUUUGUUUUUAUUUCACAAACCUCUGAGAAUGAAAAUAGUCCUUAAAUAAUAUUUAUUGGAAUAGGAAACAAUUUAUCUUUUAAUAAAGAAUAGAUUGUUCUAGCAGAACUUGUGCAGGGGGCUGCUUGAGGACCACAGAGGAAAUGUAUCACUCAUCCUUACUCACCAAAAUAGCAUCCUGAUGCUCAUCUGCUCAAAGGACCAUUUGGGCAUUUGCAUGGAAAGAACAUGGCAAAUUUGUAUGAAGCAUGAACCAAGGUAUUCCUGUUGCUGCAUGCAGUAGAAAAGGGAGAGCCACUGGGAGCGACAGGGCCUGGUUUAAUUCUACCUCAGAGAGACUGAGAAGUCCACCCUCUAUGGAAAAUACAUUCUCUGCAACAUAUAAAUCUAUAUUUAACACAAAGUUUGCUUCUUCCACUGCAGACCUGAAGAAAGGCUUGUGUACCUAGAAGUUCACUUGAGUUUCCCAGCAAUAACAGUAUAUACUACCUUCAUGAUUUGCUCUUCUACAACCUCAAUUCACAAUAACUACAGCACUGCUAAAUAUAUUGAGGCUCAGAAGAUGAAUUUUUAUCUCCCUAGUUUCACAUGAACCAUGUCUUUCUUUACUUGCACGGGGUGCUUGCUUCUUUCUAGCAAAACUGAACUUACGGUGUCUGGGAAUAAUUAUAUCAAUGGAUAUUUCUGGGGAAUUCAUUCAAAAGUUUUAAAUUCCUCAAGGAAUCCUUUCUGGCAGUGAUGAGAAGACUGUAUUAGGAACAUUAACCUUAAUGGAUAAAACGAGAGAUCUCAAACAGUGCCUGUCCUCGUGGAGAAGAAAUGCCUCCUGUACAGAUUUAGUGAGGAAUUCAAGGAAAAAUGUCCAAAGGUGCUAAAGCACUAUUUUCAGCCUACCCUGGCCUUCAGCAAUUCUUCUCUUGCCCCAGACUGAAAUAAAUUAAUUAUCUCCCAGAAACAAACGUUUCUCUGCUAUUUGUGAAGAGCUGAGGGAUGAGAAGUUACACCCCUUCUACCGUGGUGUCCUUGGAGGGGAUCAAAUAGCUGCUGUUUAUUUAUCUUUACUAGCAUAACCGGCUGUCAGCGGAUUAUCUCCUUCUGGCAUCGAGAUGGCUCCUUUUCACCAUCAGGCAGCUGCAGAAGCAGCAGAGAUUUUUUUGCUGAUUUUUGGCUUCCCAAUUCAUCGUGCCCCUUCCUUUGGCUGUCGGCGUGAACUGCGUGGUGGGAAAUCUGCCUGCCAGGCCAGCCCGUCCUGAUCCCCUGAUGCACAUUGGAAAAGUUUAGAAUCUCCUUCUUUGUUUUGGUAUUGAGAAUAAAAUGGCACAAUUAGGUAGAUAAUAGCGUCAUUCCACAUCUACCGGCUCAAGGUCCAGAUGCCCCCCAGAUGUGCUUUGUGAUGAUGGAGGCACACACACUCAUGCUGGGAAGCAGGGGAUCCUCACCCUUGCAGAACUGUUCCAGACAUAGGAUGUUUGCCAUGGGACAGCUGCACCAGCAUCUGAUUGAAAUAAGAGCCACAUUUAUGGGCACUGUGCAAACAGACUGAGUAUUUUCACUCCUAAAAAUGUAAUAAACAGCACUUGCAUUAACAAACUCCAUCUCUUAUCCCCAUGAGAAUACAACCCCUUUGCCAAUACCUGUCUCACCCCUAUUGCCUCUCCUAACCCUGGGCUCCACAAUGCGCAGAGGUGUUAUGCCAGUGACAGAAAAAAGCACACAGCACUAGGAUUAUUUAAAUAUGGUCCUUAUCUUCAUCUGGAAGAAAAAUCCGAGUGCAGUAAUGAAGAAUCUUCUACAAGUGCCAUCUGCUUUCUCCCAUGUUAUUAUUUUGCAGCACACGUAGAAAACUCUUUGCUGCUGACUUCAGCUAGGGGCAUUUCAAGAUGUCAUUUGAGGGACACUCCAGGUGGUGUGGGUUUAGGAAGGUCCCUGUGACUCCUUUACCUAUGGGAUCAAGGAUAUCUUAAUAGUGUAUGGGCUAGGACAGACUGGUGCCAACAUCUGCAGUCCAGGGUGCUGUCUGUGGUGAGACCCAGAACAGAGAAAUUUGAAGGCUCUCUAUGGUGAGGAUUGGUCACACUGAUUACAAGGCCACCAAGAUGCCUACUCAGUCCCAUGGUUGUGGAUGAGACCUCAGACUGCCACUGUUUGAAAGUAUCCUUUAAGCCUUCAUUUGGGCUAGAAUCAUUGUAGAAUCAUUAAGGUUGGAAAAGACCACUAAGAUCAUCUAGUCCAACCUGCACUUUCCUUUCUUUUUUUUUUAAACUUCAGAUCAAAUACCUGGAUCAGAAGAGAAGGUCAAAUAAACAAAGCAGAGAAGAAGAGAGACCAUGAGAUCAAAUGAAA